UCUACCUCUCCCCACCACCAUCACCAUCUCUCCAUCUCCAUCUUCUUCAUCCUUCUUCUUCCCACCCUCAUCGCCUUCCUCUCACGCUCUUCCUCACCCCAACACUAACUCAGUUGAAUUUCCAUUUUAAGGGUGUUUCUAGAUUCUAAUAUGAGUGGUAAUGACCAAGCUUUUGUGCUAGUCACAACAUCAGGGGUUUAAUUGCCAACGCCGGUGGUGGUGCGCCGCAGGGGCAAUAGCGGCUACAUUUUUGUGUCCAUUGGAUGUGAUAAAGACAAGGCUACAAGUUCAUGACCUUCCUCCUUCAUAGAAAGGCUUGCAGAAUAUAGUGAGGGAUGAAGGCUUCAGGGGAAUGUACCGUGGCCUUUCACCAACAAUACUGACAUUACUUCCUAACUGGGCAGUGAGUUUGGUGGCUAUGGAAAUGAUUCUAAAAGAGGGUUAAAUUUAUGGGUUCAAGUUUAUUUCUUGGUUUUGUGAUUUUGGGUUGAAGGAUUUUGAUUUUUGGAAGGAAAAAGGGUUGGGGUGAGGUGGAGUGUGAGAGGGAGGGGAUGAGGGUGGGAAGAAGAAGAAGAAGAAGGAAGAUGAAGGAGAUGGAGAUGGAGAUGGAGAGAGGGUGAUGGUGGUGGGGAGAGGUAGAGGAAGAUGGGGAGAAAAAGAAUUCUUUUCAACCAUAUGGACUGAAUUGAAGUUUUUAAAAGUUUCUCAACUUUCAAGGACUAAAUUGAACUAUUCCCAAACAUUCCUUACGUUCACAUGCUACGUCAGCUGUUGCUUUUCAAAAAAAAAAUGCCAUGUCACUUUUCCGUUAACAGCGUAAGGUUUUUUUAACUCAAGGACCUCUGAUGAAGGAGAAAUAAAACUUUCAGGGACCACGAACGCCAUUUUAAAAGUUUAGGGACGAAGUUGAAGGCGGCUGACACUUUUAAGGACCAAAUUGGCUAUUUACCCUACCAACAUUUAUACAUUCAUUCCUUGUAUUGGACCUGCCCAUGUUUUCGAAGGUUACAUUUUGACAAUUUUACACCAACCUCUAUGCACCUGUCUCCUCUAAACAUUCUCAAAUCCCUACAAAGUGUUGUCCACAAAAUCACCUUCCGCAAGGAACGGAAGCAUGCAUCUUUAGUGUCCCCAUAUACUAUAUGUAAUAUUUUUAUCCCUACGAUCUCCUUGAGUUGUGAUUAAACCAUGACAAAAAUGAGAGGCUGAAGAGGCAUCAUCCAGCACCCAGAUCAACACUUCUGUUAAUGUCUCAGCUGAGAAUGUGAAGAAACAACUUUUAAAAUCAAAUGGUGGCGUCACAACUGAAGACAUUAAGGUUAAGAACGAUUUUGGAGCUGAAAGAGAAGACAGAUCAAAGCACAUGAAAAAAGUUAAUGUCAAAAGCACUGAGUUUGAAGAUCUUGUUCCAAUGAAAUUAGCUGAUUCAGUUUCUUGGACUGUGCCUCAUAGCAAAAAGGAUCAUGAUCCUGAUCAAUUUUACUCAGAUUAUUCUAGACCAACCACUCGCCCUCCCUCCCACAAUUGAUUUUCUUUCACUUGGGUUCCAUGGAAUUGCAUUUUUCUCCCCCUGCAAUUUUUUUAUUUCCUCAUUUAUUUUAUACCAACAUAAUGUAUAACUAUUUAGAAAGCAUUGGUGUAUGUCUGGAAUUUUGUUAAAGCUGAAUUCAAUGCUAU